CCUACGGGAGGCAGCAGUGGGGAAUUUUGGACAAUGGGCGAAAGCCUGAUCCAGCAAUGCCGCGUGAGUGAAGAAGGCCUUCGGGUUGUAAAGCUCUUUUGUCAGGGAAGAAACGGUGAGGGCUAAUAUCCCUUGCUAAUGACGGUACCUGAAGAAUAAGCACCGGCUAACUACGUGCCAGCAGCCGCGGUAAUACGUAGGGUGCAAGCGUUAAUCGGAAUUACUGGGCGUAAAGCGUGCGCAGGCGGUUUUGUAAGUCUGUCGUGAAAUCCCCGGGCUCAACCUGGGAAUUGCGAUGGAGACUGCAAGGCUAGAAUCUGGCAGAGGGGGGUAGAAUUCCACGUGUAGCAGUGAAAUGCGUAGAGAUGUGGAGGAACACCGAUGGCGAAGGCAGCCCCCUGGGUCAAGAUUGACGCUCAUGCACGAAAGCGUGGGGAGCAAACAGGAUUAGAUACCCUGGUAGUCCACGCCCUAAACGAUGUCUACUAGUUGUCGGGUUUUAAUUAACUUGGUAACGCAGCUAACGCGUGAAGUAGACCGCCUGGGGAGGUACGGUCGCGAAGUAGUAAACGUUACAAUAGUUAAGUUAGUAGGCGUUGAGACGNGCCGACGGACGACGACGAGGGAGGAGG
rnacentral:rRNA from 1 species